rnacentral:lncRNA from 1 species
UAUUUAUUUUGAGAGUGACAGACACAGAGUGAGGAAGGGAGGGGCAGAGAGUGAGGGGCGAGAGAGAGAAUCUCAGGCAGGUUCCCCACGGCCAGCAGAGUCUGACGUGGGGCUCAAACUCAAGAAACUGCGAGAUCAUGACCUAAGCUGAAACCAAGAGUCAAAAGCUGAACCAACCGAGCCACCCAGGUGGCCCCAUAAUUUUAGAAAGCCAUCACUAGAUAUUAUUUGCACUGUGUUCAUUGUUUGCCAAUCUUAUAAGCAGUAUGAGGCCGGGGUUAUUUGUGCUGUUAUUCCAUACUGAGUCCCUAUGGGAUAACAGAUCAUCCGGGAUUUAACUCGAGCACAGAAACACACAAAAAAGGUGAUUAAAUAGGGGCGCCUGGGUGGCUAAGUGGGUUAGGCUUCCGAUUUUAGCUCAGGUCAUGAUCUCGCAGUUUGUAGGUUUGAGCCCCAUGUCAGGCUCUGUGUGGACAACUCAGAGCUGGAGCCUGCUUCAGAUUCUGUGUCUCCCUCUGUCCUUUCCCUCCUUUGCACUCUGUCUCUCUUUCUCUCUCAGAAAAGAAUAAAUGUUUAAAAAAAUCUACAAGAAAGUGAUUAAAUAAAUGAUAGGACGUCCUACGGGGAACUUACAUUUUAGACACCAUACUUGGAAAAGUUCUUUCUUUCCUAGAAGCAGAGAAAGACUGAGAGACACGGGUGUCACUGCGAAGGCGCCGCAAGCGGCUGACGGUCGGAAAGCCUGAGGUCGCCAGGGCACACGUGCUCCUCAGCCAGUGGCUUGCGUUGGCAGCAAGUGUGACCCACAAAGACAAAAUGGGAGAGAGGACGUAGGAGGAGACGAAUGUGCUCACCAGGGCCAGGACGGUGCGUGCGGCUCUGGCCUCGCGGGAAGGUCUGGGGGACGGGCUGUGGCUGCGAAGGUGCUGGACUCGCUGCUUGUGCCUGAGCAGGACGAGGACCACGGAGCCGCUGGCCCAGGCCAUGAGGCCCGAACAAGUGACAUCAGUGAAGGAGAACAUGACUGCAGGAACAUGCAAAGCAAUAAAGAUAUUCAACAGGAGAUGCAGGAUCCAGCAGAGGAAACAGCAGAUGCCAGUGCACUCCGGGAAUGCAACCCUGAGCUCCACCCACUGGGAGGCGUUGGUGUUGAGCUUAAGGGCCUGGAAACCACUGAGCAGG